AACGAACGCUGGCGGCAGGCUUAACACAUGCAAGUCGAGCGCCCCGCAAGGGGAGCGGCAGACGGGUGAGUAACGCGUGGGAAUCUACCCAUCUCUACGGAAUAACGCAUGGAAACGUGUGCUAAUACCGUAUACGUCCUUCGGGAGAAAGAUGUAUCGGAGAUGGAUGAGCCCGCGUUGGAUUAGCUAGUUGGUGGGGUAAAGGCCUACCAAGGCGACGAUCCAUAGCUGGUCUGAGAGGAUGAUCAGCCACACUGGGACUGAGACACGGCCCAGACUCCUACGGGAGGCAGCAGUGGGGAAUAUUGGACAAUGGGCGCAAUCCUGAUCCAGCCAUGCCGCGUGAGUGAUGAAGGCCCUAGGGUUGUAAAGCUCUUUCACCGGUGAAGAUAAUGACGGUAACCGGAGAAGAAGCCCCGGCUAACUUCGUGCCAGCCGCCGCAGUAAUAC
rnacentral:rRNA from 1 species